GAGCCCCAGACCCCGGCCACCCUCGAUUCGACAACCCCAGACCCCUGCCAGCUGCCGCGAGUCUCCGCUGCUGGAAUCUUGUUAGCGGCUGUCUUUUUGGAGGGUUCUGGUUUCCCGACAUUUUUGUUUCCAGCCCAGGAGAGGAUAUCGUGAUUUUCCCCCCUUGAGCCCAGGCUCUGCUCUCUGGGGGGGUGGGGGGCGCUCCAAGCCGGGGAGCCGUGCCAGCCGAGUCGUGCGGGCUGUGGCAGGGAAGGGGCCACCAUGGGAUGUACUCUGAGCGCAGAGGAGAGAGCCGCCCUCGAGCGGAGCAAGGCGAUUGAGAAAAACCUCAAAGAGGAUGGCAUCAGCGCCGCCAAAGACGUGAAAUUACUCCUGCUCGGGGCUGGAGAAUCAGGAAAAAGCACCAUUGUGAAGCAGAUGAAGUAAGUCCCUGUGGCAUUGGGAUUCGUACUUUUAUUAAGAAUAAUUUUUAAAUCGUUUUUAUUACAUUGCUUACUCCA
rnacentral:lncRNA from 1 species